CUUAGCAUCACAUAACAUCACUACAUGCUUUGAUUAACUAGCAUGUCUAAUAAUGGCCUGUGCUUUUAUUUUUAAUAAUAACAUAAAAAAUAAAGUAAAUAUAGCGACAGUCAUUCUUGAUGUUCAAAUGACUACAUAUCUAAUCCGCGAAUGUCUAAAAAUGUAUUCCAGGAGCUUCACAUUUUCAAAAAGAGGAUAAAUAUAAAACAGGACAAAGUGAGCUGAAACCCAAAAGUUCAUUUUCUUCAAAGCUUGUGACUUUUGAGAGGUGAGGUUUUGAUCUGGAACCAUAGCCAGUCCUGUCCUAACCAUCUGCUCUGCUUCGAGGGCCGGGCUGCUGUCAUCACAUUCUGCCCCCAACUGCCCUUUUGUCCAUGUCUCUCUCUCUCUCACUCACUCACUCACUCACUCACUCACUCACUCACUCACUCACUCACUCACACACACACACACACACACACACACACACACACACACACACACACACACACUUUCUCUGCUCUCGUUUUUUUAUACCUCCUUCUCUCCUCUUGUUGUCACUCCAGCUGGUGGUUUUCAGUGAGGGCUGUCAGAUGCUGAGCUCCCUGAUGCGGAGGCGAGGAGUGUGGAGAAGAGGACGAAUGGAUGAAUAAAAGAUCACAGGGCAGCUAUCACCCUAUUCUGUUUUCCAAUGAAAGGAAAAAUUCUGACGCAGAUGCACAUGAAAUAAAAAAUGCCACAGUGUUUUGAGACUGUGUGAGAGAAGAAAAGGUUGAGCAAGAGCAAGUAAUCAAAUAUGUGCAGUUUCAAAGUUCGUUGUUGGGUUUUUGUUUUUUUUUUGGUUUUUUACACAUGUUGACUGUUUCUUUUUUGUUUUUUACAUUUUGGCUCAUUAGUGAGAAGGAGUUAUUGUGGACAGAGCAGUGCCCUUGUUGACAGGUUGUUCUUGGACUUUCUGUGGAUUAUAUUUUACUUUCAAGAUGAAUAAAUUGAGGUUUUUUGUUUUUUUUUAAUUCUGCUCAGUGACUGAAUGUGUCAUCAAGCUCUACAUCCUCUUACAUUCAGAGGGACCUAAAAUUGUGAGAUCUGAGGGAAUUACAGCUUUUUUUAAAGGGAUCAGUGUGAUCAUUCCCCGUUAAAUUUGCACUGACGAGCGUUUGGAAUUGUACCUGUUCUGCCCUUGAUCCUUUAUUCCACACGAACUGGAUACUUCACUCAUUUGUAGUUUUUGGCAGAAUCAUUUGUCUGUUUAAUUCCUUGUUGUUCUCUUGGCAAACCCAGUCUUUAGAAAGAAUUUCUUUAAAAAAAAUCUAUUUCAAAUGAUUAAAUAAAAAGCUACUUUAUUUGAUUUAAAUUCGUAUUUUAAGUUUAGUUUCAAAUAAAUUAUUUGGUAUGUGCAGAAUGUCACAAAUAAACGUGGAAAUCUGUAUGUAGAUUUGUUCCUUGCAUGCACUGUUUAUAAAAGAUGGCAAGACACUGAGUUCUGCGCUCCAUUUUGAAAUUUUAAGUGGAGCAUUUGGGUGCUGUCAUGAUUAUUUUCAAACCAGGUGAAACAGGAUAAGAGGCUGCUAAACCGAGAACACUGUACACUCGUAUGGUUUCAUGUAUUUAACUCUAAAUAUCUAAAAUAUGCAAAGUAAGUGUCACACCUUUUUAAGUCAGACUUGAAAUUAAUUAAACCACAAACGUAUUAAGAAAAUAUUUACUGAGGUAACAAGUCAAUUGAAAUCAAUAAGCCUGUAGAGUUGCUCCCUGCUGUACAUUAGAAAUAAU
ensembl:lncRNA